GUGUCUGCGUGUGUGUGUGUGUGUGUCCCUGCGUGGUGCGUGAGUGACGCAGGCUAACCCCGCGCCCCAGCGGCCGCCCUUGCAGUAAUCAGAGCCCUGGGCCUCCUGUUGUCCAGAUUGUUCCGACCUGAAUAUUUCAUCAGCGGUGGUUGCAGGGGACUGCGUGCCCCGGCGUGGACUGCCUGACUCACAGCCGGGGCAGCAUAGAGCUGAUUCUUGUUUUCGUUGCCAUUACUAUUUCUUCUUCCAUUUUGUGAUUGCGCCAUUGAUAGAUAAAAAGAAACAACACCCCAAGAGAGCCUCCUUAUUUGGCUGUUGGCAUGGUUAUUUUAAAAUGAGGUUUUACAUGUGUGUGUGUGUGUGUGUGUGUGUGUGUGUGUGUGUGUGUGUGUGUGUGUGUGUGUGUGUGUGUGUGUGUGUGUGUGUGUGUGUGUGCGCACACAUGUUGGUUUGUGUGUGUGUGAGAGUGUGUAUGGUUUGUGAGAGAGGCUGUGGGGAGGGGUUGAUGGUGGGUAUGAUGCACACACUUGUCUAGACGUACGUCUGUGGGUGUGUGUGCGUGUGUGUGUGGUUGUGUGUUCCUUAAGUAUCUGAAUGAUGAUGCCAGCAGCCAGAUCCUCCAAUAUGUCUUUGAAUAUGGUCUUGGCAGACGUCUCCAAACCACCACUUGGCUGUUAAGUAGGAGAGAUGAAGAGAGAGCGAGAGAAGAUGGCAGUAGUGACCCUGCAGAUGACUCAGUUAACACAUUUCAUCUCUGCUAUCCCUUCUGAAAGGCAUCAAACCAACACCCCCCCCAUGUUGCUUUCAUUCCGACUUUGUAUUUUUUUUUUUAUCACGAGUUCCCAGCAUCACACUUACCUUUUCCAUUCUGUUCUGAAUCAAUUCAUCCGUUUUGUGUUUCUGUUCUUUUUUGUCACCUUUUUUGUUAUUUUCCGGGCCGCUCUGCGACUUGUUCACCGGGUUAUAUUCGACGUGCCGGAGCCCCCUGUGGUGCUUGAUGAAAUGUCGCUGGGGGGGAAGUGGAUCUGGAAGUUAUCUGAGUCCGCCGCCGUGCUGCACCAAGGAGGGGGGGAGGAGCUCCUAAAACAUCUAACAGGGAUUGUUAUUUUCUCCUCUUCUGCCAUAUGCUAAUGAUUUGAAUCUGGUGAUGCAUGUGUUUAUUGUCUCCGUCUCCCCUACCGUUUCAGCCAGGGUUUGUUUUUCAUUGUUUGUGUUUGCCUGGGAUAUAAGAUAAUUAUAUCGCUUUUGUUUUUAUUAUAUUUGUAUGGCCAUUCCUCAUUUGUGUAUUUGUACGGAAACUCCUCAUUGUGUUUUUAUUAUUUUAUGAUACAAAAUGGUACCACGGUAAAAAAAAAAGUAUAAAUACGUUCCAAGUACAGUGCAAUGUUCCUCCAUACACUAGACUUUGAUUAAAAACUGUCUCCGCUCUGCGCUCUGUACAUACAUUUUACAUUGAAUAAAGUCUGCAGAGUUUUCAUCCUGCUAGCAAUUUA
ensembl:lncRNA